GUGAAAAAAUAACAUAUCCAGGGCCUAGACUUUCAAAGCUUUCUUAGCGCUAAGAUAGUCGUUAGUUAAUGUUAAUGUAUGGCACUUACGACUAUCUUAGCGCUACGAGAGCUUCGAAAACCUAGGC